UUUCAUUCCAGAUGAAUUUGUGGAGUGCUUGUUCUAGAUCUCUGAAAUAUGUGGUUGGUAUUUUAAUAGGGAUUGCACUGAAUCUAUAGAUUGCUUUGGAUUGUAUGGAUAUUUUAAUGAUGUUGAUUGUACCAAUCCAUGAACACGGUAUGUUCUUCCACUUGUUUAUGUUU